GCCUUCCUAGCUCAGUGGUAGAGCGCGUCACUAGUAAUGACGAGGUCGUCAGUAUGUUGUGUCCGUAUACAGAUUGCAUCAAAGGCACAACAGCUUAUCCGAAUUAGGUUCAAUUCCGGCGGAAGGCA